rnacentral:rRNA from 1 species
AACGAACGCUGGCGGCAUGCCUAACACAUGCAAGUCGAACGAGACCUUCGGGUCUAGUGGCGCACGGGUGCGUAACGCGUGGGAACCUGCCCUUAGGCUCGGAAUAACUCCCCGAAAGGGGUGCUAAUACCGGAUAAUGUCUUCGGACCAAAGAUUUAUCGCCUUUGGAUGGGCCCGCGUUGGAUUAGCUAGUUGGUAGGGUAAAAGCCUACCAAGGCGACGAUCCAUAGCUGGUCUGAGAGGAUGAUCAGCCACACUGGGACUGAGACACGGCCCAGACUCCUACGGGAGGCAGCAGUGGGGAAUAUUGGACAAUGGGCGAAAGCCUGAUCCAGCAAUGCCGCGUGAGUGAUGAAGGCCUUAGGGUUGUAAAGCUCUUUUACCCGGGAUGAUAAUGACAGUACCGUGAGAAUAAGCUCCGGCUAACUCCGUG